GGAGGGUGCAAGCGUUAUCCGGAUUCACUGGGUUUAAAGGGUGCGUAGGUGGGCUAGUAAGUCAGUGGUGAAAUCUCCGGGCUUAACCCGGAAACUGCCAUUGAUACUAUUAGUCUUGAAUGUUGUGGAGGUAAGCGGAAUAUGUCAUGUAGCGGUGAAAUGCUUAGAUAUGACAUAGAACACCGAUAGCGUAGGCAGCUUACUACACAAAUAUUGACACUGAGGCACGAAAGCGUGGGGAUCAAACAGGAUUAGAUACCCUGGUAGUCCACGCCCUAAACGAUGGAUACUCGACAUCAGCGAUACACUGUUGGUGUCUGAGCGAAAGCAUUAAGUAUCUCACCUGGGAAGUACGACCGCAAGGUUG
rnacentral:rRNA from 1 species